rnacentral:rRNA from 1 species
UUACAUUUGAGUGAGNGGNGAACUGGUGAGUAACACGUGGGAAACCUGCCCNGAAGCGGGGGAUAACACCUGGAAACAGAUGCUAAUACCGCAUAACAACUUGGACCGCAUGGUCCGAGCUUGAAAGAUGGCUUCGGCUAUCACUUUUGGAUGGUCCCGCGGCGUAUUAGCUAGAUGGUGGGGUAACGGCUCACCAUGGCAAUGAUACGUAGCCGACCUGAGAGGGUAAUNGGCCACAUUGGGACUGAGACACGGCCCAAACUCCUACGGGAGGCAGCAGUAGGGAAUCUUCCACAAUGGACGAAAGUCUGAUGGAGCAACGCCGCGUGAGUGAAGAAGGGUUUCGGCUCGUAAAACUCUGUUGUUAAAGAAGAACAUAUCUGAGAGUAACUGUUCAGGUAUUGACGGUAUUUAACCAGAAAGCCACGGCUAACUACGUGCCAGCAGCCGCGGUAAUACGUAGGUGGCAAGCGUUGUCCGGAUUUAUUGGGCGUAAAGCGAGCGCAGGCGGUUUUUUAAGUCUGAUGUGAAAGCCUUCGGCUCAACCGAAGAAGUGCAUCGGAAACUGGGAAACUUGAGUGCAGAAGAGGACAGUGGAACUCCAUGUGUAGCGGUGAAAUGCGUAGAUAUAUGGAAGAACACCAGUGGCGAAGGCGGCUGUCUGGUCUGUAACUGACGCUGAGGCUCGAAAGUAUGGGUAGCAAACAGGAUUAGAUACCCUGGUAGUCCAUACCGUAAACGAUGAAUGCUAAGUGUUGGAGGGUUUCCGCCCUUCAGUGCUGCAGCUAACGCAUUAAGCAUUCCGCCUGGGGAGUACGGCCGCAAGGCUGAAACUCAAAGGAAUUGACGGGGGCCCGCACAAGCGGUGGAGCAUGUGGUUUAAUUCGAAGCUACGCGAAGAACCUUACCAGGUCUUGACAUACUAUGCAAAUCUAAGAGAUUAGACGUUCCCUUCGGGGACAUGGAUACAGGUGGUGCANGGUUGUCGUCAGCUCGUGUCGUGAGAUGUUGGGUUAAGUCCCGCAACGAGCGCAACCCUUAUUAUCAGUUGCCAGCAUUAANUUGGGCACUCUGGUGAGACUGCCGGUGACAAACCCGGAAGGAAGGUGGGGGAUAGACGUCCAAAUCAUCAUGGCCCCUUAAUGACCUGGGCUACACACGUGCUCACAAUGGGAUGGUACAACCGAGUUUGCGAACUCGCGGAAGAGUAAGCUAAUCCUCUUAAAGCCCAUUCUCAGUUCGGAAUUGUAGGCUGCCAACUCGCCUACAAUGAAGUCCGGAAUCGCUUAGUAAAAUCGCGGAAUCAGCAUGCCGCGGGUGAAUAC